AGAAGUCACUAUGGUGACGGGGAGGUACCAGGUAUUUGAGAGCAAUCGCCACCGCUUUCCUGGAACUUGAGUAAAUACAAUCAAGUGGCAUCUUAAAUUUUUGCUGGAAGUGGAGUCAUGAGACUAAAGAUAUCUCUUUUAAAAGAACCAAAGCAUAUCCUUUUAAUGCUUAUAAAUCUUAUUGGAUUUUCUUAAUUAUAGUAUUGUUAAAAGUUUCUCUAUUUUAUAUCCUAGUUGAAGAAUAGAUUUUUUUUUUCAUUCCUUUAGUGGCUGUUUACCUAAAUUGUUUUAAAGUAUUUAAGAUCAUGUGUUAAAAAUCUGGUCCUUCAUCAGAACUAGGAAAGCACUGAUUUAAACAUUUGGUCAGACAUUUUAAAUUGAAUUAGUAAGCUGUGUGGGCUGGACUACUGCUGAAGAGCUGUAUUCAUGUAGUGAUGAUCACCAGAUAGUGAAGUGGAACUUGUUAACCAGUGAAACAACUCAAAUAUUAGGAAGAGUGGAAAAAAGUGUAGAAGCUCACUGUGGAGCAGUACUUGCAGGAAGAUGGAAUUAUGAAGGAACAGCAUUAG
rnacentral:lncRNA from 10 species